rnacentral:rRNA from 1 species
UGGGGAAUCUUCCGCAAUGGACGAAAGUCUGACGGAGCAACGCCGCGUGUAUGACGAAGGCCUUCGGGUUGUAAAGUACUGUCUUGGGGACGAACGGUAUCUAUGUAAAUAAUGUAGAUACAUGACGGUACCCAAGGAGGAAGCCCCGGCUAACUACGUGCCAGCAGCCGCGGUAAUACGUAGGGGGCGAGCGUUGUCCGGAAUCAUUGGGCGUAAAGGGCGCGUAGGCGGGUCAUUAAGUCUGGUGUGAAAAGGGCAGGGGCUCAACCCCUGGAAGGCACCGGAAACUGGUUAUCUUGAGGACAGGAGAGGAAAGCGGAAUUCCACGUGUAGCGGUGAAAUGCGUAGAUAUGUGGAGGAACACCAGUGGCGAAGGCGGCUUUCUGGACUGUAACUGACGCUGAGGCGCGAAAGCGUGGGGAGCAAACAGGAUUAGAUACCCUGGUAGUCCACGCGUAAACGAUGAGUGCUAGGUGUAGAGGGUAUCGACCCCUUCUGUGCCGCAGUUAACACAAUAAGCACUCCGCCUGGGGAGUAC